rnacentral:rRNA from 1 species
UGGGGAAUAUUGGGCAAUGGGCGCAAGCCUGACCCAGCAACGCCGCGUGAAGGAAGAAGGCUUUCGGGUUGUAAACUUCUUUUGACAGGGAAGAGCAGAAGACGGUACCUGUCGAAUAAGCCACGGCUAACUACGUCGCC